ensembl:lncRNA
AUAAAAGUAACUGCAAUAAAAGUUCACACAAUGUUUUGAAAAUGUAAAAUUAAAUUAGUAGAGUUGGGGGGAAAAAUGACUAGCCAUGAUAAUAAUCAAACACUGAACUGACCAAACUAAUAGUGAUCUUAGCUUUGUAUGCUUUAAGCAGAAAAGACAUCUGAUAUUGCUGGAAAAUUAAACUAUAACAUUUUUAUUGUCUGUCAUAAGAAUUCACCUGCACUGGAGGCACAGUCUCCACUAAGGGCUUCAUCUGAGUCUCUACCUGGGUCUCCACCUGGAUCUCCACCAUUUGCUUCUCAAGGGUCUCCAUCGCGGUCUCCUCCACAGACUUCUCCAGGAAGUCCUUUAAUCUCUGAUUCUGAUCUAAGGGCAGUAUUGCGUAAUCUGCAAUCAUAUGUUAAUGUUGAAGACAUGCCACCAACAGCAAACAGGAUUAAUGUUGUGAGGGGAGACAUUAUAGAAUCACCUUUCAGAGCAUUUAGAACGAGGCAGUUCAACCCUAAUUGCAAAUUGGAUGUGGUGUUUUUUGCGCAUGUGGUUAAGGUGAAGGAGCAGUGGACAAUGGUGGACCCACCAGGGAAUUUCUGACCUUUCUAAUGAAGGAACUUUUGAACUCGCGUUAUUUUGUGGGGCCUGUAUGGAGGAAGAACCUGGGACUGGACUCCAUAGGGACUCAGCAGGGGCAUCUACAUAGUAGCUCAAUAAAGGAAAAGCAAUAUCUGGCUGCCUGCUUCAUGGAGGGGUAUGUGUUUUCACAAAGACUGUUUUGCCAGCUAACUGGGGAGCCAACACCACCUGUUGACAUUGUGGAGGUGCAUGAUGAAGACCUAAGUCAACAGGUACAAAAGGCCAGCUGCAAAUUUAAACAAUAUGCCACAUUUUUAAGACAUUUACCAUUUUGACACAAUUUACCAUUUGUACACUCUUAUGUGUGCCAGAUGAAUGCAUUGAAUUGCAUAAAAUUUUUAAAAUAUUUUUAGAUUUCGGACAUACUAAGAUAAAAUUAAACAUGGAUCACAUGAGAGUAUCAUC